AUGAAUUCUUAGGGAUGGAAAUAAUUUCCAAUCGAAGAGAGUUAUAUCCGAGAAAUGUACACCGAUAGCACUCCUGUCUCCUGUGUUACAUAUUUAGUAUAUACAUUUAUAUAUACAUAUAUACAAUGUAAUUUCUCUAUUUCCCGUCUCCGUCUCACUGACUCGCCGAUUCAACGAUACGUACGACAACGACGCCUUGGUGAUGAUGGUAAUCCACAAUUAUAAGCCGAUAACGAGCGAAUGACUUGGAUAUCGCGGUGAACUGGUUUUCAAUAACGUUAACUUUCUUCGCCCUGUACUGGUGAUAUCCUGCGGUUGAAACGGGAGAAGCGCGCAUUCCACGACGGCCUCCGUGCAAACUUGUGCAAACGCAUUAUCGGCCUCCAUUCUACCUUUAAGUACUUAUUUUUUUAUUUUUAUUUUCUCUUAUCACAAUGUCAAAAGAUCUUAUGAUUAUAUUGUUAC